GUGAGGAAUAUUGCGCAAUGGAGGCAACUCUGACGCAGCCAUGCCGCGUGCAGGAAGAAGGCGCUACGCGUUGUAAACUGCUUUUAACCGGGAAGAAACCCCAGGACGUGUCCUGGGUUGACGGUACCGGAGGAAUAAGCACCGGCUAACUUCGUGCCAGCAGCCGCGGUAAUACGAAGGGUGCAAGCGUUAUCCGGAUUCAUUGGGUUUAAAGGGUGCGUAGGCGGAGCGUUAAGUCAGUGGUGAAAUCCUGCAGCUUAACUGUAGACUUGCCAUUGAUACUGGCGCUCUUGAGUGCGCUUGAAGUGGGCGGAAUGUGCCGUGUAGCGGUGAAAUGCUUAGAUAUGGCACAGAACACCAAUUGCGAAGGCAGCUCACUAAGGCGAUACUGACGCUGAGGCACGAAAGCGUGGGGAUCGAACAGGAAUAGAUACCCUUGUAGUCC
rnacentral:rRNA from 1 species